ACACUUAUUAGGUGUCUACUAGGUGACAGGCAACUGAGCCAAACGUUGGACUGCGAACGGAAAGGAUUUGCCUCCAAGGAUAGGAAGUUGGUGUUAAUCUACAGGAGGAAAUCGGUUGGCGACUUCGGAUUUCUUCCCUCCUCCACCUCCUCCUCCUCCUGCCCUCCCUCCAAUGCCUCAGUCUUGCUUCAUCCCCAAUGCCCAGGUUCCGAUACCCAAGCCCCUCCCUCUCCCCACCCCCACUCGGUCCCAGAUUCCCAGUCCCCGCUGCAAGCAGCUCUGAGGGGAUGUGAGUCACUGCAGGGAAAAUCCCGGCAGCAGAAAGAAAGUUUGGGUUUCGGAGAACCUCUCCUUCAAGCUGCAGGCACCUCGCUCACUCUCGAGCUGGGGCCAAGAUAUGAAAGCCAACCCCAGAGAAACUUGGAUCAGAAUCCUUGGAACUUCGACGUUAUUUUACAUGAUAAAGAAACUGAGACCCAGAGAGAUAAAUGGACUGGAAUGAUGAUCCCCCAAAAAGAAACGGACCCAGAGCUUGAAUUUUAAUCAUAAGGUUUCUAAACCUAGUUUUACAGAUGUGGAAAUAGAGGCCCAGAAAUCAUGAGACUUGAGUUAGGAUUCUAGGAGCCUGUCCCCUUCUUUUUACAGGUGAGAAAACUGAGGUUCAGGAAGUUAUUCACUCUCUCAAAUUCACAUGGUAUGUAUCUGACAGGAUUUGAACCCAGGUUUUUCUCACUCCAAAUCCUAUACUCUACUAUGCAAACCUGCCUCAUCCUUUUGCCAUAUAUUUUAUAUUUCUUCACAUACAUAUAAUUUGCAGCCACCACUUGUCCAUAUUUUGUUCAUUGAAGCAGAAAUUAAUAUGAAAAUUGGAUUUGUCAAGUAAGGUCUUUCCCCCAAUCUGACUCUAGCUUAUUUUUUUCAGGCUAAAUUUAUGACUUCCUCUUCCAUUAUUGCUCUACUCUAGCCAGAUUGGACUACUAAAGCCUUCAAAAUAUUUCGAUUCUUUUAGGAAGUCUGUGACUACUUAGCUCUUAGUAGCAGUCUGGGUUUGUAGUCAGAAAGACCCAAGUUUGAAUCUGGUUUGAUACUGGAUCAGAAAGGGCAUAAGCAUUUAUAAAGCUGUGCUAAAUGCCUUAUAAAUAUCUUAUUGAUCCUUGAAAUAACCCUAUGAGGCAGUUACUUUUAUUAUUCACAUUUUAUAAUUGAGGAAACUGAGGCAAACAGGUUGAGUGACUUGCCCAUGGUUAAAUAGCUAUUGUUUCAGGAAUAACCUGACCCAGCUCCCUAUCUUCUGUACCCCCUUUUAGACUGAGAAAAUAAUUUAACCUCUUUAUUUCCCAGUAUCUUCAUCUAUAAAAUGGGUCUAAUAAUAAUUACUAGCCUCAGGCAUAGUAUUUCAUGAGAUUGUCAUUAGGAAAAUGUUUUGUACAUCUUUUAAGUGUGAGCUAUCACAGUGAUAAGCACUUAUUCCUGUCGUUCAUAAAUCUUUCUCAUCCCAUGUCCUGAACUCAAUUAUUACUUAUCUCUUUUCUGGGCCUAGAGUCUGAACUUCUAGCUGUGAAGCCUUGCCCUGAGGCAAAGCUAUAGUUGGAGAUCUUACAAGACUAGUCAAAUCAGUGUAAAGCUCUUUUCAUAACUGGAAAGUAACUCAUAACACAGACCCUGAUAAUAGCAAGAGGGCAGUGUGUAAUGUCCAGAUGUGAUGUUUGUCUGUUAGGAUUAAAGAAAAAAAAAAAGAAUGAAGAUAUCAAACAAGUCCAUCCCUCAGUGCAGAUGGGAUUUUAUUAUACUUCUCCCUCAGAACUUUUCUUUAUAUUCCUCCAUAACUCUAUUAUAUGCCACCUAGUGACUUCUUUAGGAAGUGCAUGAUAGGGAAUGUAAUAAGAUUGGGCAAGGAUGAAAAUUCAGAACUUUUUUUUUUUUUCAUUUUGAGAGAAUGGAAUGGGCCUGGGGUGGAGGUUGGAGAAUGACUUUGAAAGGACUACAUUGACAAAAGCCUCAUAGCUGAACAGGAGGACCCUGGAAAUUACAGCUACCCUAUUUUAUUUGGAUUUGGUCAAAUGAUAGCAGGCCACUGAACACAUUUAUUUAAAAGUAAUCUCAAAUGUUUUCUUAAUUAAAUUCUCUUCAUCUAACACAUGGGGGGAAAAAAAUCUUAAGAGUUUUUAAUUCCUAAUUCUUAAACAAAGGAAAACUAACCACUUCUCUGCCUCUGGGGUACAGCAGAAAAGGUACCAUGAUAAUAAAAUUUUGAGUCAUGUCCUCUCUCUCUCUCA
ensembl:lncRNA